rnacentral:rRNA from 1 species
AUUGAACGCUGGCGGCAGGCCUAACACAUGCAAGUCGAGCGGAGCGGCGGACGGGUGAGUAAUUCCUAGGAAUCUGCCUGGUCGUGGGGGAUAACGUCCGGUAACGGGCGCUAAUCUCGCAUCCUACCAGAUGACCCUAGGUGGUAUUAGCUAGUUGGUGAGGUAAAGGCCUACCAAGGCGACGAUCCGUAACUGGUCUGAGAGGAUGAUCAGUCACACUGGAACUGAGACACGGUCCAGACUCCUACGGGAGGCAGCAGUAGGGAAUAUUCGGCAAUGGGCGAAAGCCUGAGCCAGCCAUGCCGCGUGUGUGAAGAAGGUCUUCGGAUUGUAAAGCUCUUUAAGUUGGGAGGCGUUACCAACAGAAUAAGCACCGGCUAACUUCGUGCCAGCAGCCGCGGUAAUAC